AAGAUCCAGAAUGGCUUGUUGUGGUUGGCGUCUGCACGCAUCUUGGUUGCAUUCCCUUGCCCAAUGCUGGUGAUUUUGGUGGGUGGUUCUGUCCGUGCCAUGGUUCCCACUACGAUGUGUCCGGUAGGAUCCGUAAAGGACCAGCACCCUACAAUUUGGAGGUACCUACUUACACCUUUUUGGAAGAUAACAAGCUUUUGAUUGGUUAAGAUGAGAAGAAGAAAUGAAGCUCUUUUUUCAGGGUUUGUGUAGUAGUGAUUUUGAAACCUUCAUCAAAUGAUAAUGUCGAAGAUUUAUUGCAGACAUAAUUUUAUUAUUUUAUUU
rnacentral:lncRNA from 1 species